AUUGAACGCUGGCGGCAGGCUUAACACAUGCAAGUCGAGCGGAGAUGAGGUGCUUGCACCUUAUCUUAGCGGCGGACGGGUGAGUAAUGCUUAGGAAUCUGCCUAUUAGUGGGGGACAACAUUCCGAAAGGAAUGCUAAUACCGCAUACGCCCUACGGGGGAAAGCAGGGGAUCUUCGGACCUUGCGCUAAUAGAUGAGCCUAAGUCGGAUUAGCUAGUUGGUGGGGUAAAGGCCUACCAAGGCGACGAUCUAUAGCGGGUCUGAGAGGAUGAUCCGCCACACUGGGACUGAGACACGGCCCAGACUCCUACGGGAGGCAGCAGUGGGGAAUAUUGGACAAUGGGCGGAAGCCUGAUCUAGUCAUGCCGCGUGUGUGAAGAAGGCCUUUUGGUUGUAAAGCACUUUAAGCGAGGAGGAGGCUACCUGGAUUAAUACUCUAGGAUAGUGGACGUUACUCGCAGAAUAAGCACCGGCUAACUCUGUGCCAGCAGCCGCCGUAAAAC
rnacentral:rRNA from 1 species